rnacentral:rRNA from 1 species
CUGGCUCAGGAUGAACGCUGGCGGCGUGCUUAACACAUGCAAGUCGAACGAAGCACCUGCUUACGAUCCCUUCGGGGUGACGAGCUUGUGACUGAGUGGCGGACGGGUGAGUAACGCGUGGGUAACCUACCGUAUGCAGGGGGACAACAGUUGGAAACGACUGCUAAUACCGCAUAAGCGCACGGUGUCGCAUGACACAGUGUGAAAAACUCC